UACGUAGGGGGCAAGCGUUAUCCGGAUUUACUGGGUGUAAAGGGAGCGUAGACGGAAUUGCAAGUCUGAUGUGAAAAUCCGGGGCCCAACCCCGGAACUGCAUUGGAAACUGUAUUUCUAGAGUGUCGGAGAGGCAAGUGGAAUUCCUGGUGUAGCGGUGAAACGCGUAGAUAUCAGGAGGAACACCAGUGGCGAAGGCGGCUUGCUGGACGAUGACUGACGUUGAGGCUCGAAAGCGUGGGGAGCAAACAGG
rnacentral:rRNA from 1 species